rnacentral:rRNA from 1 species
UUGAAUGCUGGCGGCAUGCUUUACACAUGCAAGUCGAACGGUAACAGGCCGCAAGGUGCUGACGAGUGGCGAACGGGUGAGUAAUGCAUCGGAACGUGCCCAGUCGUGGGGGAUAACUACUCGAAAGAGUAGCUAAUACCGCAUACGAUCUAUGGAUGAAAGCGGGGGACCGUAAGGCCUCGCGCGAUUGGAGCGGCCGAUGUCAGAUUAGGUAGUUGGUGGGGUAAAGGCUCACCAAGCCAACGAUCUGUAGCUGGUCUGAGAGGACGACCAGCCACACUGGGACUGAGACACGGCCCAGACUCCUACGGGAGGCAGCAGUGGGGAAUAUUGGACAAUGGGCGCAAGCCUGAUCCAACAAUGCCGCGUGCAGGAAGAAGGCCUUCGGGUUGUAAACUGCUUUUGUACGGAACGAAACGGCUCUGGUUAAUACCCGGGGCUAAUGACGGUACCGUAAGAAUAAGCACCGGCUAACUACGUG